ACAGUCCAACACGGGGUAUCACAGUCAACGCACAGGGUAUCACAGUCAAAGCACAGGGUAUCACAGUCAAACACGGGGUAUCACAGUCAAAGCACAGGGUAUCACAGUCAAAGCACGGGGUAUCACAGUCAAACACGGGGUAUCACAGUCAAAGCACAGGGUAUCACAGUCAAAGCACGGGGUAUCACAGUCAAAGCACAGGGUAUCACAGUCAAACACGGGGUAUCACAGUCAAAGCACAGGGUAUCACAGUCAAAGCACGGGGUAUCACAGUCAAACACGGGUAAUCACAGUCAAAGCACAGGGUAUCACAGUCAAAGCACAGGGUAUCACAGUCAAAGCACAGGGUAUCACAGUCAAAGCACGGGGUAUCACAGUCAAAGCACGGGGUAUCACAGUCAAACACGGGGUAUCACAGUCAAACACGGGGUAUCACAGUCAAACACGGGGUAUCACAGUCAAAGCACAAUGGAAAGUCAAGUUUAUCUACAGAAUGAAAGUGUACACAUCAUCAAAAUAUGCAAAUAUACUCGGUAUAUAUAGCUGAGAACAGCAUUUUAGGAUAACUGUAUUCGCAGUAACUUUUAUGUCAGUAAUAGCGAGCCUUAAGGUAUAUCUGCUACCACAAGCAGCAUUAUAGAAAAGCUCCAAGAAUUCCAGGGUAGUGAUGGGACAUUGGUUGGCAAUUAUAGAUGAUUAGCAGUUCUGAUGUAACCACUAUUAUAAACUGAAGUCCCAUCACUACCCUA
rnacentral:sRNA from 1 species